rnacentral:rRNA from 1 species
UACGUAGGGACCGAGCGUUGUCCGGAUUCAUUGGGCGUAAAGAGCUCGUAGGCGGCUGUUCAAGUCGAACGUGAAAACUCGGAGCUCAACUCCGAGCCUGCGUUCGAUACUGGACGGCUAGAGUCUGGUAGGGGGAUCUGGAAUUCCUGGUGUAGCGGUGGAAUGCGCAGAUAUCGGGAGGAACACCUGUGGCGAAAGCGGCGCACUGGACCAUAACUGACGCUGAGGCGCGAAAGCUAGGGGAGCAAACAGG